GGCUCAGUAGCUCAGUCGGUAGAGCAGCGGAUUGAAAAUCCGCGUGUCGGCGGUUCGAUUCCGUCCUGAGCCACCA
rnacentral:tRNA from 1 species